rnacentral:rRNA from 1 species
AAUGAACGCUGGCGGCAGGCCUAACACAUGCAAGUCGAACGGAUCCUUCGGGAUUAGUGGCGGACGGAUGAGUAACGCGUGGGAACAUACCCUUUGGUACGGAAUAGCCUCGGGAAACUGGGAGUAAUACCGUAUGUGGUCGAGAGACGAAAGAUUUAUCGCCAAAGGAUUGGCCCGCGUUGGAUUAGGUAGUUGGUGGGGUAAUGGCCUACCAAGCCGACGAUCCAUAGCUGGUUUGAGAGGAUGAUCAGCCACACUGGGACUGAGACACGGCCCAGACUCCUACGGGAGGCAGCAGUGGGGAAUCUUAGACAAUGGGGGAAACCCUGAUCUAGCCAUGCCGCGUGAUCGAUGAAGGCCUUAGGGUUGUAAAGAUCUUUCAGGUGGGAAGAUGAUGACUGUACCACCAGAAGAAGCCCCGGCUAACUCCGUGCCAGCCGCCGCAGUAAGAC